AGAGCCGGCGGUCCGCAGUAACUGGCUGGGGGAGGCGGUUUGCGGCUGCCCGGGGCGCUGAGCGCUGGGGCAGUUUCUCCUGACUUCUCCCUGCGUCGGGCCAGCCAAGGGGAAAGCCUCGAAUGGGAGAGAGGGGUGAAGGCAGAGGAUGGGUGAGGAAGGAAAGGGCUGAGAAAUGGCAAGAGCCCAUCCUGCCUCGGAAACUACAUAAUGGCAGGGAAGGACCGCCAGCAAGACUGGAACCAGUACAAGUUGCACAGUUGUUUGUGCAUUUGACUCAGCUACAGCAGUAGUUGCACCGGGAGGGGCAAAAUGUCACCCAAGAGGUAGAGAAGAAAAAUAGCAAUUGGAGUCUCACAGAACUUCUUAGAUCCUACUGUUGAAGUCUGUGGCUCCUCUCUGGUGAAAUGGAUCCUGGGAAGAUGUGGCACAGAAGGGGCAGUUCAUAAAGAGGAAUGGACUUCAAAUGGAGAGACCUCAUUAAAAUGCAUGCUUCUCAUUCUUGGAGCUCUACAAAUAAAGGAGAAGCAAGAGACCAUCAACAAGAUGGUGUUUGUUUCAAGUUUUACAGGUACCUUUUGUUCCACAGCAUCAUAUCAACGGGGUAUGUUGUUAUUUAAAUUAUAUUCAAAUAGUCCAAUAAUGCCAGUUUAGGGCUGAAAGACAAGGAGAAGCUGAGAACAUAUGAGAUGACGCUUUCGGUCUUAUAAGUAAAUUAAGGCAAUAUUAUUGGUAAUAUUGAACAAAGAAACGGUAUGAUAACACUUUCUGAA